rnacentral:rRNA from 1 species
UGGGGAAUAUUGCACAAUGGGCGAAAGCCUGAUGCAGCGACGCCGCGUGAGGGAUGACGGCCUUCGGGUUGUAAACCUCUUUCAGUAGGGACGAAGCGCAAGUGACGGUACCUGCAGAAGAAGCACCGGCUAACUACGUGCCAGCAGCCGCGGUAAUACGUAGGGUGCGAGCGUUGUCCGGAAUUACUGGGCGUAAAGAGCUCGUAGGCGGUUUGUCACGUCGUCUGUGAAAUCCUAGGGCUUAACCCUGGACGUGCAGGCGAUACGGGCUGACUUGAGUACUACAGGGGAGACUGGAAUUUCUGGUGUAGCGGUGGAAUGCACAGAUAUCAGGAAGAACACCGAUGGCGAAGGCAGGUCUCUGGGUAGUAACUGACGCUGAGGAGCGCAAGCAUGGGUAGCGAACAGG